UUAAGUGAAUAAGGGCGCACGGUGGAUGCCUUGGCACUAGGAGCCGAUGAAGGACGGGACUAACACCGAUAUGCUUUGGGGAGCUGUACGUAAGCUAUGCGGUAAUACGUAGGUGGCAAGCGUUGUCCGGAUUUAUUGGGCGAUGUUACGAUUGUGUGAAUACAUAGCACAUUCGAGGUAGACGCAGAGAACUGAAACAUCUAAGUACCUGCAGGAAGAGAAAGAAAAUUCGAUUCCCUGAGUAGCGGCGAGCGAAACGGGAAAAGCCCAAACCAGCAAGCUUGCUUGUUGGGGUUGUAGGACUCCAAUAUGGUAGUUCUUUCAGAUAGUCGAAUGACUUGGAAAAGUCAGUCAAAGAGGGUAAAAACCCCGUAGACGAAAUGUGGAAGACACCUAGGAGGAUCCUGAGUACGGCGGAACACGAGAAAUUCCGUCGGAAUCCGGGAGGACCAUCUCCCAAGGCUAAAUACUCCCUAGUGACCGAUAGUGAACCAGUACCGUGAGGGAAAGGUGAAAAGCACCCCGGAAGGGGAGUGAAAUAGAACCUGAAACCGUGUGCCUACAACAAGUCAAAGCCCGUUAAUGGGUGAUGGCGUGCCUUUUGUAGAAUGAACCGGCGAGUUACGAUUGCAUGCGAGGUUAAGUUGAAGAGACGGAGCCGCAGCGAAAGCGAGUCUGAAUAGGGCGUUUGAGUAUGUAGUCGUAGACCCGAAACCAUGUGAUCUACCCAUGUCCAGGUUGAAGGUGCGGUAAAACGCACUGGAGGACCGAACCCACGUACGUUGAAAAGUGCGGGGAUGAGGUGUGGGUAGCGGAGAAAUUCCAAACGAACUUGGAGAUAGCUGGUUCUCUCCGAAAUAGCUUUAGGGCUAGCCUCGGAAUUGAGAAUGAUGGAGGUAGAGCACUGUUUGGACUAGGGGCCCAUCUCGGGUUACCGAAUUCAGAUAAACUCCGAAUGCCAUUCAUUCAUAUCCGGGAGUCAGACUGUGAGUGAUAAGAUCCAUAGUCGAAAGGGAAACAGCCCAGACCACCAGCUAAGGUCCCAAAAUAUAUGUUAAGUGGAAAAGGAUGUGGGGUUGCACAGACAACUAGGAUGUUGGCUUAGAAGCAGCCAUCAUUUAAAGAGUGCGUAAUAGCUCACUAGUCGAGUGACCCUGCGCCGAAAAUGUACCGGGGCUAAACAUAUUACCGAAGCUGUGGAGUACACCUUUAGGUGUAUUGGUAGGAGAGCGUUCUAAGGGCGUCGAAGGCAGAUCGUGAGGACUGCUGGAGCGCUUAGAAGUGAGAAUGCCGGUAUGAGUAGCGAAAGACAGGUGAGAAUCCUGUCCACCGAAUGACUAAGGUUUCCUGGGGAAGGCUCGUCCGCCCAGGGUUAGUCGGGACCUAAGCCGAGGCCGACAGGCGUAGGCGAUGGAUAACAGGUUGAUAUUCCUGUACCCGUUGUUUUUGUUUGAGCAAUGGAGGGACGCAGGAGGCUAAGGAAUGCAGACGAUCGGAAAUGUCUGUCCAAGCAGUAAGUCUGAAGAGGAGUUAAAUGCUUCUUUUCUUAAGGACAAGCUGUGAUGGGGAGGGAAAUAAUAGUACCGAAGUUCCUGAUGUCACACUGCCGAGAAAAGCUUCUAGUGAGAAAACAGCGGCCCGUACCGCAAACCGACACAGGUAGUCGAGGAGAGAAUCCUAAGGUGAGCGAGAGAACUCUCGUUAAGGAACUCGGCAAAAUGACCCCGUAACUUCGGGAGAAGGGGUGCUGAUCAUACGAUCAGCCGCAGUGAAUAGGCCCAAGCGACUGUUUAUCAAAAACACAGGUCUCUGCAAAAUCGUAAGAUGAAGUAUAGGGGCUGACGCCUGCCCGGUGCUGGAAGGUUAAGAGGAGUGCUUAGCGCAAGCGAAGGUACGAAUUGAAGCCCCAGUAAACGGCGGCCGUAACUAUAACGGUCCUAAGGUAGCGAAAUUCCUUGUCGGGUAAGUUCCGACCCGCACGAAAGGCGUAACGAUUUGGGCACUGUCUCAACGAGAGACUCGGUGAAAUUUUAGUACCUGUGAAGAUGCAGGUUACCCGCGACAGGACGGAAAGACCCCAUGGAGCUUUACUGUAGUUUGAUAUUGAGUGUCUGUACCGCAUGUACAGGAUAGGUAGGAGCCGUAGAAAUCGGAACGCUAGUUUCGAUGGAGGCGCUGGUGGGAUACUACCCCUGCGUUAUGGCCACUCUAACCCGCACCACUAAUCGUGGUGGGAGACAGUGUCAGAUGGGCAGUUUGACUGGGGCGGUCGCCUCCUAAAAGGUAACGGAGGCGCCCAAAGGUUCCCUCAGAAUGGUUGGAAAUCAUUCGAAGAGUGUAAAGGCAGAAGGGAGCUUGACUGCGAGACCAACAAGUCGAGCAGGGACGAAAGUCGGGCUUAGUGAUCCGGUGGUUCCGCAUGGAAGGGCCAUCGCUCAACGGAUAAAAGCUACCCUGGGGAUAACAGGCUUAUCUCCCCCAAGAGUCCACAUCGACGGGGAGGUUUGGCACCUCGAUGUCGGCUCGUCGCAUCCUGGGGCUGUAGUCGGUCCCAAGGGUUGGGCUGUUCGCCCAUUAAAGCGGCACGCGAGCUGGGUUCAGAACGUCGUGAGACAGUUCGGUCCCUAUCCGUCGCGGGCGUUGGAAAUUUGAGAGGAGCUGUCCUUAGUACGAGAGGACCGGGAUGGACUUACCGCUGGUGUACCAGUUGUUCUGCCAAGGGCAUUGCUGGGUAGCUAUGUAGGGAAGGGAUAAACGCUGAAAGCAUCUAAGUGUGAAGCCCACCUCAAGAUGAGAUUUCCCAUUUCUUUAAGAAAGUAAGAUCCCUGAGAGAUGAUCAGGUAGAUAGGUCAGGAGUGGAAGUACAGUGAUGUAUGGAGCGGACUGAUACUAAUCGAUCGAGGACUUAACC
rnacentral:rRNA from 1 species